ensembl:sense_intronic Gm15513 predicted gene 15513
GAGCUGGAAGAGGUCUGCCUACAACUACCUAUCACUCCUGACCCAACACUGACAGAACCAUCGUAGGAGUACUGGCGAGUGUUCUGUGUCAUGGGCACAUCCCUCGGGGGCCAAGCCAAGUGCUGGAGCCCACCGGGGAACCAGGUGGAUGUGGCAGACCUUUCAGGUCCUGCAAGGAGGUGACCAGCAGAGUGUUUUCAAACAGAAGGAAGAGGCCAGUCACACACAGGCAGAACAUUUGCUGAAAUGUGGAAUGAGACGUCAGGAGGUCUGGAUUCCUGGGGAGUAGCUGAUCUUCAGUCUGCGUUGGAAUCCUGGAGAAGUUGUUUCUAUCACCACUGAAGGAGUUCCGCAGCAACAGGGUAGAUGAACUUGCCAGUGAGAGUGAGGACAGGCAGGCAAAAAGCAAAGGUUUCUUCCUCUGUGUCCUUUUCUGUGGGCUGGCACUGGAAGAUGUGACCCAGAUUUAGGGUGGGUCUUCCUGCUCAAAUAAUCAGAUUAAGAAAAUUCCUCACAGGAGUGCCCAGCGUCUUGGGUUUCAGUUACCUUCUGUGAGAAACCCUGUCUUGAACCAAAAAAAAAAAAGUUUCCUUCUGUAUGCAGUCAAAUUGACAACCAAGAUUAUUCAUCACAAGUGGGUUAUGAUUCAACUCUAGUUAUACAUCUGGGAGACAGAUGCUAAUGUCUGCCUCGCCUCAGUGUCCAUGGAAGGGAUAGUGACCUUCACUCUUUCAAGCAGCAGGAUCCAUUUCUCUGCUGUUCCAAUUUGAUCACGGGGUUCACCCAUCAUCUGGCAGGUGCCUCUGUAUCUCCUGUGAUAUGUGACAUGGGAAGCGUAAUGAACAGUGGCAGGCCCUGUGCUCACAAGUUUCUGUCCCGUGUGUGAGUCCCACCUCUGUGAAAAUGGAAGAAAAGCAGGGAGCUGUGGCAAGAGACCUGCAUUUGAGGCUGGAGCCCUCCACAUCCCUGGAGUGUGUAUUACUACUAGUCAAGUAGAAGGACUCCACAAGGACCAAGGGUCAUUCCUGCCAAGGGACUAACACAUGCUGGCAGCAGAGGGGCCUACGGCUGAGAGUGUAGACCCUGCUGGAGAAGCCCCUCUGUGGGUGCUCUUCUGUCCUUGGCUGAGUCCACCAGCCCCAGCAUCAAGGGUGGUGGGACAUUGUGAGUAGUCAGCAUGGAUGUCCUCACCCUGCUGAGUGAAUGUUCUGGAACUUCUUUCCUUUUCUUUCCUGGAAUGGUCUUUCCUUUCCGCUAGCUUCUUUCCUAUCUGUUCAGUGGUCAGAGAUUGAUGUUUUUGGGAAAAGUUGACAUUUUUAGAAAGCUGGUUUUCUCCCACCUAACCUUAGCUUCCUGACUCAAAACGUUCUUUGUUGUCAACUCCAUUGUCUGCUUGUCAGAGGACAAAACCCACUCAAACCCAUCUCUCACCCUUAGCAUGCAGGGAUGUUUGCUGUAGAAACUACACUAAUCCCUUUUUUUUCCCCUCUGUGUGGUCCCUGAUCAUUGUAAAAACUCUAGAAACACUAAAAAGACUAAAAGAAGUAAAUAAAAAUUUCCCACAUUUUA